rnacentral:rRNA from 1 species
AUGGAUUGAGCCUUAGAAAGCAUUGAGACGGGUGAUGCAUGGCAGUCGUCAGCUCGUGUCGUGAGAUAUUGGGUUAAGUCCCGUAACGAGCGCAACCCUUGUCUUUAGUUACCAGCACGUAAUGGUGGGCACUCUAAGGAGACUGCCGGUGACAAACCGGAGGAAGGUGGGGAUGACGUCAAGUCAUCAUGGCCCUUACGGCCUGGGCUACACACGUGCUACAAUGGUCGGUACAGAGGGUUGCCAAGCCGCGAGGUGGAGCUAAUCCCAGAAAACCGAUCGUAGUCCGGAUCGCAGUCUGCAACUCGACUGCGUGAAGUCGGAAUCGCUAGUAAUCGCGAAUCAGAAUGUCGCGGUGAAUACGUUCCCGGGCCUUGUACACACCGCCCGUCACACCAUGGGAGUGGGUUGCACCAGAAGUAGCUAGUCUAACCUUCGGGGGGACGGUUACCACGGUGUGAUUCAUGACUGGGGUGAAGUCGUAACAAGGUAGCCGUAGGGGAACCUGCGGCUGGAUCACCUCCUU